GGGAGGCAGCAGUAGGGCAUCUUUCGCCAAUGACGAAAGUCUGACCGAGCAACGCCGGCUGAAUGAAGAAGGUUUUCGGAUCGUAAAACUUCGUUGUUAGAGAAGAACAAGGAUGAGAGUAACUGUUCAUCCCUUGACGGUAUCUAACCAGAAAGCCACGGCUAACUACGUGCCAGCAGCCGCGGUAAUACGUAGGUGGCAAGCGUUGUCCGGAUUUAUUGGGCGUAAAGCGAGCGCAGGCGGUUUCUUAAGUCUGAUGUGAAAGCCCCCGGCUCAACCGGGGAGGGUCAUUGGAAACUGGGAGACUUGAGUGCAGAAGAGGAGAGUGGAAUUCCAUGUGUAGCGGUGAAAUGCGUAGAUAUAUGGAGGAACACCAGUGGCGAAGGCGGCUCUCUGGUCUGUAACUGACGCUGAGGCUCGAAAGCGUGGGGAUCAAACAGGAUUAGAUACCCUGGUAGUCCACGCCGUAAACGAUGAGUGCUAAGUGUUGGAGGGUUUCCGCCCUUCAGUGCUGCAGCUAACGCAUUAAGCACUCCGCCUGGGGAGUACGACCGCAAGGUUGAAACUCAAAGGAAUUGACGGGGGCCCGCACAAGCGGUGGAGCAUGUGGUUUAAUUCGAAGCAACGCGAAGAACCUUACCAGGUCUUGACAUCCUUUGACCACUCUAGAGAUAGAGCUUCCCCUUCGGGGGCAAAGUGACAGGUGGUGCAUGGUUGUCGUCAGCUCGUGUCGUGAGAUGUUGGGUUAAGUCCCGCAACGAGCGCAACCCUUAUUGUUAGUUGCCAUCAUUCAGUUGGGCACUCUAGCAAGACUGCCGGUGACAAACCGGAGGAAGGUGGGGAUGACGUCAAAUCAUCAUGCCCCUUAUGACCUGGGCUACACACGUGCUACAAUGGGAAGUACAACGAGUUGCGAAGUCGCGAGGCUAAGCUAAUCUCUUAAAGCUUCUCUCAGUUCGGAUUGCAGGCUGCAACUCGCCUGCAUGAAGCCGGAAUCGCUAGUAAUCGCGGAUCAGCACGCCGCGGUGAAUACGUUCCCGGGCCUUGUACACACCGCCCGUCACACCACGAGAGUUUGUAACACCCGAAGUCGGUGAGGUAACCUUUUGGAGCCAGCCGCCUAAGGUGGA
rnacentral:rRNA from 1 species